rnacentral:tRNA from 1 species
GGGGGCAUAGCUCAGUUGGGAGAGCGAUUGCUUUGCAAGCAAUAGGUCGUCGGUUCGAUCCCGUCUGCCUCCACCA